CUGACAGUUGUCAACUUAGUUAAAAGGUAGGCACUCAUUUAGUGCUGAUAAAAAGGAUUUUGUUCUCUAUAACAGCAAUACGUUUUUAAUUACAAAAGACAUGACUGUCAGGGCUCUGUGUUGAUGCGCAGUGUAUGUGUGUGUGUUUCUUUCCACCCUCUGCUCUAGAGCGUUUCCUGGCAGGUGCUGCUGAUCAGGCCCUAAUCACUGGCCUUCUUAAGGAGCUGAGACCAGGAAGGAAACGUCAGCCCGUUGCUACAGUUUUGUGGUACUGACCGUGAUGUGCAGUGGUUGUGCAUAUAUUGUGCUGAACCUAAUCUGACUUUUAUUUUGUCUUUUUCCCCAGACCUUGCCUGAUGGGUUUAUAGGGGCUCCUAGUCCUGUGAUCUGUUUUCUGAGCGAGCUUCAUGGUUUCGUUCCUCAUCUCCCACCGUGAGUCUCCCUGCCUUCUCAGCUUCUGGCCCUGGCUUGGGUGAGGGUUUUUUGCAGAACCUUAUUUCUGUUGUCACCUGCCUGUCCACCCUCUUACGUGGAAACGCUUAAACUGAGUCAUCACUUGAGAGCUAAAGGAAACUGCCGCCUACCACACUCAUCCUGCCAACCUCCAUCUCAGAGGAAAGACUUACCUCCCCAGCUAAACCACAUCCGCUCUGGCUAGAAGAACCAGUCUCCUGCUGUCAUUGCCUGGGUCCCUGUCUCGCCUUGUUCCUUUUUCUUCACAAAAUAAAUCUGUUAAAACGG